GUGUAUCAUAUGAUGGAUGACGAUUCUGCUUUAUGUGGAAGUGUAAAUUGCACUUUAUGCUUGGUAAGUCAAUAACAAAAUGGAUCACCUCCAUUCUCUUUGCCAGUUUACCUCCUGAGUUUUGUUUGUUGAGCUGAGCUAUCUGAGCUUGUGAUUUACUAGCUUGUGAUCUGAUCUGAUUAUGGAUUCUUAGUGCGACAGCUCUUUUUUGGGGUUGAGACAGAGAGUUGUGUGUCGCUGCUGACGCAGUUUCCUUCAUUGAACAUCUGUUUGCUUCAUAAAUACGUUCAUGACAUGGUGUAGAUAAUUGCUCUUUAGAUUGAUUAACUGAAUCAUUGCAAAAUUGUCAUGUCUUGCCAUGAACAUCGAGGAGAAUGACACUUGAAGUGUACCCGGUCGUCCAUUUCGCAAAUAGGUAAGUAGCAUGGUAAUACUUGCUCUUCACAUGUCACUUCUUCCCCUUUCAUUGGUGGAAGAAUGUCUCUCUCAUGCGGAUUCCAAAACCACAUUUAGUGCGAUAUUUUGAAGUUUCGAAGUCAAUUUGGAGGAUGGUCGAUUGGACCACUAGCAGAUGAAAACUAUAUCUCCACCAUAACAUGAUUGCAGAUGCUAUGUCAUGUUCAUGUCGGGCAUUUUGAGUCACCUUGUUCAUCUCAUUGACAAUAGAGAAUGAUUCUAUUCAUGGUUUAACACUUAAUUUGUGGCACCCUGCUCCGGCUUUCGCUGGGGGGCCAGUGCUGCUGGUCUUCUUCAUGUGUGGCUUCAAAAUUUCACUUGCGAGUUUCAUAGAGUGCUUGCUUCAACUGAGUUUUGUUUUCUUGUCAAGGACUGUUCACACAGUACAGCUUCGCUCUUUGCAAGUAAAUCUGGACUACCGAUGCGAAGGUCGGCAGUAGCGAAAAUGAUUUUCGCGUUACCUCUUUCUUAAGGAGCACGUUUCUUUGAAUAAUGAGAGCGUGGCCAUCAGAACCAUGAUCUAUAUGGUUGAUGGAAGCACGCGAACAUAUCCUCCGAGUAAUGUAGUCUUGGAAUAAGGUUGUAAUAUAAUAGUUGUUAUGCUGUAAUUAUUAUAAUCAUAAUUUGUUUAGAUUAUAAUUCAAAAUUGAGUAUAUAGCAAGUGAUUAUAUUGGAAGAAAUAUAUUAUAUUUGGGUAAUUAUCACUUUAAUAGCCGAUCAUGAGUUUCAUGCCUCAUAUGUACCAGC
rnacentral:lncRNA from 1 species